rnacentral:rRNA from 1 species
AUUGAACGCUGGCGGCAUGCUUUUACACAUGCAAGUCGGACGGCAGCACAGAGAAGCUUGCUUCUUGGGUGGCGAGUGGCGAACGGGUGAGUAACAUAUCGGAACGUACCGAGUAAUGGGGGAUAACUAAUCGAAAGAUUAGCUAAUACCGCAUAUUCUCUGAGGAGGAAAGCAGGGGACCUUCGGGCCUUGCGUUAUUCGAGCGGCCGAUAUCUGAUUAGCUAGUUGGUGGGGUAAAGGCCUACCAAGGCGACGAUCAGUAGCGGGUCUGAGAGGAUGAUCCGCCACACUGGGACUGAGACACGGCCCAGACUCCUACGGGAGGCAGCAGUGGGGAAUUUUGGACAAUGGGCGCAAGCCUGAUCCAGCCAUGCCGCGUGUCUGAAGAAGGCCUUCGGGUUGUAAAGGACUUUUGUCAGGGAAGAAAAGGCUGUUGCUAAUACCAACAGCUGAUGACGGUACCUGAAGAAUAAGCACCGGCUAACUACGUG